rnacentral:tRNA from 1 species
AGGCGCUAUAGCCAAGUGGUAAGGCACGAGUCUGCAAAACUCUGAUUCCCCAGUUCAAAUCUGGGUGGCGCCUCCAA